rnacentral:rRNA from 1 species
AGCAUAUCAAUAAGCGGAGGAAAAGAAACUAACAAGGAUUCCCCUAGUAACUGCGAGUGAAGCGGGAAGAGCUCAAAUUUAAAAUCUGGCGUGCUUCUGGCCGUCCGAGUUGUAGUCUGGAGAAGCGUUUUCCGCGUUGGACCGUGUAUAAGUCCCUUGGGAACAGGGCGUCACAGAGGGUGAGAAUCCCGUCUUUGACACGGACUGCCAAUGCUUUGUGAUGCGCUCUCAAAGAGUCGAGUUGUUUGGGAAUGCAGCUCAAAAUGGGUGGUAAAUUCCAUCUAAAGCUAAAUAUAGGCGAGAGACCGAUAGCGAACAAGUACCGUGAGGGAAAGAUGAAAAGCACUUUGGAAAGAGAGUUAAACAGUACGUGAAAUUGCUGAAAGGGAAACGCUUGAAGUCAGUCACGUCUGCCAGGACUCAGCCUUGCUUCUGCUUGGUGUACUUUCUGGUUUGAUGGGCCAACAUCAAUUUUGACCGUUGGAAAAAGGCAUGGGAAUUGUGGCACCUUCGGGUGUGUUAUAGCCCAUUGUUGUAUACGACGGUUGGGAUUGAGGCUCGCUCGACC